UGUUUCCCUGGGGGGUGAUUUGGCGUUGCACCUGUGUGCCCAGCUUCAGUGAGCACUGACUCCUGCAGCUGGUAAGUCAUGCUUAUGUCUCUCUCCUUUUUAUUUUUUUAUAAGUAUUUUCAAAGUGAACACUGUUUUGUGGCAUGCUGUUAAGCAUCCGGGUUGAAUUCCCGAAUUUUCGUUUUAUUAAAGUGUUGUAAAAAACGGACUUAUUUGCUAAAUGAUGUGUGGAUUAGCUUAAUGCUAGCAGCAGUUGCUGCGGGGUUUCCUGGCCUCGUGAGUUUGUGCACGGGUCGGGGGUGCUCUGCUGCGUCUGCGUGGACAUCUUGUGUGUGUUUUUUUCCUUUUUCUUUAUUCUGUAGUGGAGAGAGAUACUGUGGACUGUAUGUGACGCCCUUUUCUUUUUGUCCCUAUGAAAAAGGUAUCUCCAGGUUGGGGAGGAGACCCUGCCCCAAGUGGAGGAGUUCAAGUACCUAGGAGUCUUGUUCACGAGUGAGGGAAGAGUGGAUGGUGAGAUCGACAGGCGGAUCGGUGCGGCGUCUUCAGUAAUGCGGACGUUGUACCGGUCCGUUGUGGUGAAGAAGGAGCUGAGCCGGAAGGCAAAGCUCUCAAUUUACCGGUCGAUCUACGUUCCCAUCCUCACCUAUGGUCAUGAGCUUUGGGUCAUGACCGAAAGGAUAAGAUCACGGGUACAAGCGGCCCAAAUGAGUUUGGGUCUCUCCCUUAGAGAUAGGGUGAGAAGCUCUGCCAUCCGGGAGGAACUCAAAGUAAAGCCGCUGCUCCUCCACAUGGAGAGGAGCCAGAUGAGGUGGUUCGGGCAUCUGGUCAGGAUGCCACCCGAACGCCUCCCUAGGGAGGUGUUUAGGGCACGUCCAACCGGUAGGAAGACCCAGGACACGUUGGGAAGACUAUGUCUCCCGGCUGGCCUGGGAACGCCUCGGGAUCCCCCGGGAAGAGCUAGACGAAGUGGCUGGGGAGAGGGAAGUCUGGGCUUCCCUGCUUAGGCUGUUGCCCCCGCGACCCGACCUCGGAUAAGCGGAAGAUGAUGGAUGGAUGGAUGGAUGGAUGGAUGAAAAAGUAAACAAAGGCGGAUCAUCAGGGUGUGGUGACGUCUCCCAGUCUCUUCAGCAGCCCGUCCAAGGUCUCCAGGUUCUGGGACUUGUCCUCCAGCAGCUCGUAGCGCAGGCUGGAGAUGUCCUGCUUGAUCUCCUUCAGCUCACCUGCAGCACAACACCAAGUAUUUCUGGAAUGUGCCGUUAAAAAAAAUGGGCCCCCGGUCCGCACUUUGGACUUUGGACACCCCUGACCUCAAGAACUGCGUAGCUGGACACAGUAAAAACUGCAUGCGGGACCUGGUCUAGCUGUGUCUGGUCUUUGUCCUCCUUGUGUCCCCUCAUGUAGCGCAGGGCCACAGACUUGAUGCCCUUGGAGAGACCCAGCAUGGACUUUGGACUGGGGACCAGGUUGAAGGGCACCGGCAGCGUUCUUCCCUCCUCAAAGUAGGAGAACCAGAGUUUAGCCCGGGCGAACUUCCACUCCACGUCGGCGUCGUCCUGCAACCGAGCACAGAGUUGCCGACAGGGAGGCGGAAACUCACCCGGGCCAUGGUCCUGGGCAACUGUUCUCCUCCGGGAAGUCGUCGUGCAUCAGCAGGUUGUCCCGGCUCCUGGCCCGCGGGCUGUCCGGGCUCGGAGACGCCGCCUGCCUGUGGUUCAUGAUGGGAGGCUCUGAAGGGAUCAUCACGCCAGCGGGUGACUUGUCCAGGGUGUACCCCGCCUUCCGCCCGAUUGUAGCUGAGAUAGGCGCCAGCGCCCCCCGCCACCCCGUAAGGGAGAAAGCGGUAGAAAAUGGAUGGAUGGAGGGAUGUUUACAUUUUCUAUUCUUCCUCCAAGAUUGUGACGGAGCAGAAAGAACACCUCACCACAUCAAGAUCUGAUAAGCGUCUGAUGAGCACGCGGUGGCACCCGCUUGCCUUUUAAGGCACCGCAUUGCCGAAGAUGAGACACUUUGGACUUUUUAUGGCGUCCCACUGGACUUCAGAAGGGGCCCAAAGUGGGGGAGGGUUAGCGUCCGGGCGACGUAAAGGUUGUAAAGUGAAAGGUAUACAGACUUAUGGGGGUGGGCGACAGACACCUGGAAGGUCCAUGGCAUCUACACCAUAAACAUUGACAGUUUAAUAUAUAUAUAUAUAUAUAUAUAUAUAUAUAUAUAUAUAUAUGUAUACAUUUUUUUUCAUAUAU